rnacentral:lncRNA from 1 species
ACUCACCAAAUCAGAAUAUGCGGAAACUGGAAAUUGCAACAUGGACUGAGCAAGAAUAUCUAAAUUAACCAAAGCACCAAUGGAAUGUCGAACCAAAGCUGCUAAAUGACUAACUUCUUUUGCAAGUUCUUCAUCUGAUUUAAAUUCAGAGAACCCUGACAUCUCAGGUGCAAAUUUAUAUUGCGGUUUAGCACCUUCUCUUGCAAAUUUAACACCUUCCUUCCAUGAUCCAUGAUACAGUACAGAAGCAAAGACCCAGAUAACAAGAGCAUCUUGUGGGUCAGAUACUAAUGCUUGGUGAAAAGCUAACAGUCCAACCCUGUUCCAAAGAUGAAGCAAGAUCAGCAGCCAUCUCUUGAGAUGAGAACAUUGAUUGCAAAAAUAUAAUGCCAUGUGAAUUCACUUUGGCCAAUAUUUCAAUCCCCUCCCAAGCUAUCAAUUGAAGAAAAAAAAGAAUAUCAUUAUCAGGGAGAAAGAGGAAUAUAUACAUAUUGCAUAACAAUUUAACUAGUCAUGAAGUCGGCAUUUUAAAGAACCUGCUUACACCUACCCAGACUGGUUGAUCACCUACCAGGAGUUAAGGCAAUAAGAAUUUGAUAAGUAUAGCAUGGGGAUUGAAAACGGAGUGAAAAUAGUUGUGAACUAUAAGUUGAUCCAAGGCCUUCAAGUCAAUAUAUCCACCAGGCAAAAUUUGUCACCCGGUAACUCCUCGGAAAAAAAAAAAGGGUUUGUGCACAGGAAAGAAGAGGAAUAGGUUUAGGUUAGAAAAAACGUAGUAUUUUUUACAUUUUUCUUAAACAUAUCAGCUCGUUCCUAUUUAUGCUAUGGUCAUAUUUUGUAUAUCCACUAGUUCCUAUAAAUAGCACAAUUUCCCAAUGUCCAUGUUGGACACAAAGAAGAUAUUUCCUUAGCAUGAAAAGCUAUAGUUGCAUAUAUGUCAUAAAAAGUUACCUAAAUGAUAAUGGUGGACGUAUCAUGUAUAUGCAAUUAAAGACAAGUCUAACAAACAGAAAUGGAAUGCCAUGUCCAUUAACCAAUCACACAUGUGCUACAUGAUAUGAAAGUAAGCCAUUAUAAGAUAUAAACUAGAAAACAAGCUGAAGCUAUAUGCUUAUGAAAGUAAGCAUUGCCUAUGAAAAUGAAAAGCUAGAUGAAGCACUAUUGUAAAAGAUUACAAGCAUACAAAUCAAAUAUAAUAUAUAUAUAUAUAUAUAUAUAUAUGCACUCACCAAAUCAGAAUAUGCGGAAACUGGAAAUUGCAACAUGGACUGAGCAAGAAUAUCUAAAUUAACCAAAGCACCAAUGGAAUGUCGAACCAAAGCUGCUAAAUGACUAACUUCUUUUGCAAGUUCUUCAUCUGAUUUAAAUUCAGAGAACCCUGACAUCUCAGGUGCAAAUUUAUAUUGCGGUUUAGCACCUUCUCUUGCAAAUUUAACACCUUCCUUCCAUGAUCCAUGAUACAGUACAGAAGCAAAGACCCAGAUAACAAGAGCAUCUUGUGGGUCAGAUACUAAUGCUUGGUGAAAAGCUAACAGUCCAACCCUGUUCCAAAGAUGAAGCAAGAUCAGCAGCCAUCUCUUGAGAUGAGAACAUUGAUUGCAAAAAUAUAAUGCCAUGUGAAUUCACUUUGGCCAAUAUUUCAAUCCCCUCCCAAGCUAUCAAUUGAAGAAAAAAAAGAAUAUCAUUAUCAGGGAGAAAGAGGAAUAUAUACAUAUUGCAUAACAAUUUAACUAGUC